rnacentral:snRNA from 1 species
GGACGUGAGGGCGAUCUGGCUGUGAUAUCUGUCACCCCAUUGAUUGCCAGGGUGGAUGCGGCUGAUCUGGCUGGCUAGGCGGGUGUCCCCUUCCUCCCUCAGCGCUCCAUGUGCGUCCCUCCCGAAGCUGCUCGCUCGGUGGAAGAGGACGACCAGCCUGACAGAGGAGGACCGGUCCUCGGUCAGGGGUGGAGGAGAGCUGCACUCCCCUGUGAGAACCUCCAAACAGGCUCUCAGAAAUGUGUACUCCGGGUUGAGAGUCAAGCAUGCGUUGA